rnacentral:lncRNA from 1 species
GGUCAGUCAUGGUCAGUUCGUACUAUCAGGUUUGAGGUAAGACCCAGAUGCAGACAACGUCGAAGUAACAACAGUGUCAAAUUUUGUUGUUGAUCAUUGCUUGACAGCCAUUUUCAGGUAUUGCCAUUUCAAGUAGAUUUCAGUCAAAACUGGAACUAUGCCCAUCAGGAUUAUUCACUGUCUUCUUGGUAAAGAAAUCCAGUGUAGAUUUGGCCGUGUUUUAACCUUUUCUCACAUACCAAAAACAGGUGUGAUCAUUCUACAGUGGUUCCUGCAGCGUACGCUCAAUCCGGUGGGAUUAGAACGCUUAUUUAGAAGGUUCAGUUACGAUUGACACAACAGUCAGCAUUUGAGCUGGCCACACUGUUUUUUCACAGAAACAUUUUGCACAAACACAGUCCAUACCAAGUUCAGUCCGGAAUGUAAACAGUUUAUUUUUGGAUGCAAUGUUUCGACAUUUACAAAAGUAGCUACAGCAUAACACAAUCAUCCAAACUGGAAAAUGUAGGUGUCAGCGGGUGUAUUAGAGGCGAAGUCAGAUGCAGGAGAGUAGAGUGAUGUAAACAGGCACACUAUAUUUUAGUUCCAAAAACCUGAGCACUACAUAAAUAAAACUCGCUCAAAACACGGAACAUCAUAAAAGUAAAGCGCGUAAAUAAAACACCAUAAUAACAGGAAACAAUUAUGCACAAAACAUGAUGGGAAACAGAGGGUUAAAUACAAGUAGAUUGAUUGGGGAAAUGAAAACCAGGUGUGUAUGGAAACAAGACAAAGACAAAUGGAUACAUGAAAAAUGGAGCGGCGAUGGCUAGAAAGCCGGUGACGUCGAUCCCCGAAUGCCGCCCGAACAAGGAGAGGAGCCGACUUCGGUGGAAGUCGUGACAGUACCCCCCCCUUGAUGUGCGGCUCCAGCGGCGCUCCGACACCGGCCUCAAGGACGACCCGGAAAACGAGGCGCAGGGCUAUCCGGCCGGCGAUGGUGAAACUCCCGCAGCAGUUCAGGAUCCAAAACAUCUGCAACCGGAACCCAGCACCUCUCCUCCGGCCAAUACCCCACCCACUCCAAGAGGUACUGAAGGCCCCCACCCGACGCCUCGAAUCCAGGAUGGAAUGAACGAUGUACGCCGGGGCCCCCUCGAUGUCCAAAGGGGGCGGAGGGACCUCCCACACCUCAGAUUCCUGGAGCGGACCAGCCACCACCGGCCUGAGGAGAGACACAUGGAACGAGGGGUCAAUACGAUAAUCAGAGGGAACCUGUAAUCUAUAACAUACUUCGUUCACACUCCUCAGGACUUUAAAUGGCCCCACAAACCACAGACCCAGCUUCCGGCAGGGCAGGCUGAGGGGCAGGUUAUGGGUCGAGAGCCAGACCAGGUCUCACUGCGGUGACGGUCCGCGCUGGCUUUCUGGCGACGCGCGGCUCACUGGAGAUGGACACGGGCGGCCUCCCAUGUCUCCUCCGCAUGCCUAAACCAGUUGUCUACCGCAGGAGUCUCGGUCUGACCCUGAUGCCAUGGUGCCAGAACCGACUGGUACCCCAUUACGCACUGAAAGGGGGAGAGUUUAGUGGAAGAGUGGCGAAGCGUGUUCUGUGCCAUCUCGGCCCAGGGCACAAAUGCUGCCCACUCCCCCGGCCGGUCCUGGCAAUAGGACUGCAGAAACCUGCCCACAUCCUGGUUGACUCUCUCUACCUGCCCGUUACACUCGGGGUAAAAACCCGAGGUAAGGCUAAUCGAGACCAUGAACGCCCUCCAAACUCUCGAUGUGAACUGGGGACCCCGAUCUGAUACUUUAUCCUCAGGCACCCCAUAGUGCCGGAAGACGUGUGUAAACAGGGCCUCCGCAGUCUGUAGGGCCGUAGGGAGACCAGGCAGAGGGAGGAGACGACAGGACUUAGAAAAACGAUCCACAACGACCAGGAUCGUGGUAUUUCCCUGUGAGGGAGGAAGAUCCGUUAGGAAAUCUACUGACAGAUGUGACCAAGGUUGUUGUGGAACGGGUAAGGGAUGUAACUUACCUCUGGGCAGGUGUCUCGGAGCCUUACACUGGGCACACACCGAGUAGGAGGAGACAUAAACCCCCACGUCCUUAGCCAAAGUGGGCCACCAGUACUUCCCAGUCAGACAGCGCACCGUCCGACCGAUCCAUGGAUGACCAGAGGAGGGAGACGUGUGGGCCCAAAAGAUCAACUGGUCACGGACAGCAGACGGAAUGUACAUACGCCCUACGGGACACUGGAGGGGAGCGGGCUCUGUACGCAACACCUGCUCACUGUCCGCAUCCAGAUCCUACACGACCAGCGCUACCAGGCAGGAGGCCGGGAGUAUGGGAGUCUGAUCCAUGGGCUGCUCCUCUGUGUCAUACAUCCGGGACAGUGCGUCUGCCUUCUUAUUCUGGGAACCUGGUCUGUAGGAUAGGGUAAACACAAAAUGGGUAAGGAACAUGGCCCACCUUGCCUGACGAGGAUUCAGUCUCCUCGCUGCCCGGAUGUACUCCAGGUUGCGGUGGUCAGUCCAGAUGAGAAAAGGGUGUUUAGCCCACUCAAGCCAAUGUCUCCACGCUUUCAACACUUUAACCACAGCCAACAACUCCCGGUCCCCCACAUCAUAGUUAAGCUCCGCUGGGCUGAGCUUCCUCGAGAAGAAAGCACAGGGGCGGAGUUUCGGUGGCGUGCCCGAGCGCAGUGAGAGCACGGCUCCUAUCCCAGCCUCGGACGCGUCCACCGCCACUAUGAAUGUCAAAGAGGGAUCCGGAUGGACCAGCACUGGAGCCGAAGUAAACAGAGCCCUUAGAUGCCCAAAAGCCCUGUCCGCCUCAGCCGACCACUGCAACCUUACAGGACCCCCCUUCAGCAGUGAGGUAAUGGGUGCAGCAAGCUGGCCAAAACCCCAGAUAAAUCUCCGGUAGUAAUUGGCAAACCCUAAAAAUCACUGCACCUCCUUUACCGUGGUGGGAGUCGGCCAAUUACGCACGGCUGCAAUGCAGUCACUCUCCAUCUCCACCCCUGAUGUGGAAAUGCGAUACCCUAGGAAGGAGACGGCUUGCUGAAAGAACAGGCAUUUCUCAGCCUUGACGUACAGGUCAUGCUCCAACAGUCGUCCAUGUACCUUGCGCACCAAGUACACAUGCUCGGCGCGUGCAGCGGAGUAAAUCAGAAUGUCAUCGAUAUACACCACUACACCCUGCCCGUGCAGGUCCCUGAAAAUCUUGUCUACAAAGGAUUGGAAAACUGAUGGAGCAUUCAUCAACCCGUACGGCAUUACGAGGUACUCAUAAUGCCCUGUGGUGGUACUGAACGCUGUCUUCCAGUCAUCUCCCUCCUGGAUACGCACCAGGUUAUACACACUCCUGAGAUCUAGUUUCAUGAAGAAGCGUGCCCCAUGCAUUGACUCGUAAAUAAAACACCAUAAUAACAGGAAACAAUUACACACAAAACAUGAUGGGAAACGGAGGGUUAAAUACAAGUAGAUUGAUUGGGGAAAUGAAAACAAGGUGUGUAUGGAAACAAGACAAGACAAAUGGAUAUAUGAAAAAUGGAGCGGCGAUGGCUAGUAAGCCGGUGACGUCAAUCGCCAAACGCCGCCCGAACAAGGAGAGGAGCCGACUUCGGCGGAAGUCGUGACAGUAGGCUACAUUGGUCCUACCGCUAACUGAGGAAAGAUUGACAUAACACAAGCGUCAUAUUUUUAUAACUCUCAGCUGACAGAAACUACAAUAUCAAUUAGCUAAUAGCAAUUACUCUUUAUAAUAAUCACAUUACGGGUGAGCUCACCAUUCAUCAAAAUAAUUGAGUAAAACACUUUAUAGAAAUCUAAAGUAAUCCGACGAUGGGUAGUUUGUGCGUGUUUCGUUUUUUCGCAUCAACCAAAGAUAAUAAGAGGAGACAAGAUGAGUUUGACUGUUUAUAGUAUGCAUGUUGAAGGGUGUGUGUCGUCUACCAUCAUUCACAUCCCAUCAUUCACUUCUGGAAGUUUACUCGAGAAAUGAGUGAACCCUCCCUCACUCCAUUUUGUUAUAACAUCUUUGGUCCUACACACCAAAGAUAAAUAAUUACCACACAAAACAUUUUCUGAUAGUGAUUUAUUGAUACAAGUGGCAUGUGCUGGCAAUCAAUCACGUAACCUCUCACUCCCACUCUGAGCAAUUCAGUGUUGUUGUUUAUGUGUGUAGCUAGUGAGCUGAGCUGUAGCAUUAGCAAUGUCUCUCAAAAGGAGACAACUCAAAAAUGCGGAAAUUCUGUAGAUUUUUAUAAAUUCUGACAAUGAGUCUGAGUAUGAAAGUCAGGAAUCAGAUUUUGACAGUGACAGUGAGGAGCUGCCCCCAACCUUGUAGCCAUUGAGAACCCUGAACCUGAGGCCCCCUUGUCUACUGACGAAGUUCCAGGUCCCUUUGAAGAUGCUGGUAGUGAUGGAUGCAGAGCGACAGUGGAUGAAGUACAGCAGGUCUGUGGUAGCUGGAAGGCUGCCAGCCAUUUCACGCCUCCUGGCCCUGCUGUUUGCUUUGAGUCCCAGUCUGGAAUGCAAAUCCCCUUGCCAUUACCCUCUGAGGCAGAGUGCUUGAAGCUGUUUCUGACAGAGGAGCUGAUGGGAGACAUUGUAGAGACGACCAAUCGGUUUGCCUUGGAGCUAGAGGAAAAGAAAGAGCCAGGAGUGAGGAGGAAACUCGCUAAAUGGGUGACAACCACAAUUAGUGAAAUGUAUAUCUUCCUGGUGACAGUCCUUCUCAUGGGAAUAGUAAAGAACUCCCUAAGAGAAUACUGGAGCACAUAUCCUAUGUUUGCAACUAGUUUCUUUGCCGCCCUCUUUUCCCAAGACCGCUUCUUAGUUCUGCGCGAUGCCUGCAUUUCGUCAACAAUGCUACUGCCAAACGAAAUGGCCCGUUACACAAAUUAAGAAAUGUACUUACCAGCCUGACAUCAGCAUUUGGUCAGGUCUUUGUGCCAUACAAGGAGCUAUGCAUUUAUGAGUCCCUGGUGAUAUGGAAGGGUAGGCUGGCGUUCCGUCAAUAUAUUCCCGACAAAAGGCACAGGUUUGGGGUCAAGUUCUUUUUUAUGUGCGACGUGAAGACAGGAUUUGUCCAGGACAUUAUAGUCUAUACAGGGUCUACCACUGACAUUGGGGUGUCCGGGUCCACGGUGAUGACCAUGCUGGCUCCUCAUCUCGGCAAGGGACACAAUUUAUAUGUGGACAAUUGGUAAAGCAGUCCCACACUCUUCCAGCAUCUGAUCUCCAACAGCACAGGGGCCUGUGGCACAGUCAGGUCGAACAGAAUGGGGAUGCAGGAAGAUGCAGAGAGGGGAGGUUUAGUUCAAGGAGUACGGUCAAUAGAUGCAGUAAAGUGGCAUGACAAACGAGAUGUCCAUGUCCUCUCCACUAUCCAUACAGCAACCAUGUCGGCCACAGGGAAGGUGGACCACCUGACGGGAGAGAGAAAGUUCAAACCAGACUGUGUGCUUGACUCUAACGUCAAAAUGGGGGCAGUGGAUAAGGCGGACAUGAUAAACAACUUUAUGGAAUGCACUCGGAAAACUACCAAGUGGUAUAAGAAGAUAUUUUUCCAUCUGAUUGACACUGCUGCCCUCAAUGGCCACAUAGUUCACCGCCAACUAACAGGUAAAGUAAUUACCUACCAAAAGUACAGAGAACCUAAUACCUAAUGAGAGAGCUGCUGGAGGAGCACCACACCCCUCAGCGCCAAUCCACUGGGGGCCGUCCUGCUGCAGACAAUCCACAACGCCACACUGCAUAGCGUUUUCCCUGUGAAGUCCCUCAAACUGCUGCGCAAGGUAGUCGCACACAGAGGCACUGCAAAGUCUGCCUGUCUGGCACCAGGAGAAGGAAGCAGAGGAGGUUGACAAAGUACGUGUUUAGCUUGAGACACACCACUGUGUUUCACCAUGCUUUGGGGAGUACCAUAUGUUCAAGCACUAUUGAGCACAUAUGCAGCAAUUACUGACUGACUGACUUGACCGGUGAUCUGCCAUGAUGAGGGGUGGAAAUGCAGUUGUUGUUCAAUCACUGCAGGAAUAUGAGAUAAGGGUUAUGCAUAUUCAUAAGUUCUCAGUAUUUUCUUGCAGUUUUUUCCCUCUAGUAAGCAAGUUUUUGUUGUUCAACCACCACCAAUACUUCAAUAAAAUAGACAACUAUUACAUAUAGGCCUAUGUGUUUUCUUGCUGUGUUUUCAUCCAGUAAAACUGUUAAGGAGAGUACGCUAGCAUACAAAAGCUGGCCUCAAUCUUCAGCUCCGAAGAUGUCCAGUUCCAGUUAUGAUAUUGUCAAAUGCUGUUUGUGUGUUUGGUUUCUGAAAGUACAGAAUAAAGAGG